GGGAUGCAGGGAGAGGGGCUGCAGGGCAGGAUUGGGGAGGGGGGAGCUGAAUUCCAGGGGAAUUCCAGCUGAAAUGCUGCUUGGAGCCCCCCCUGGCAGCCCCCAGGGCUGGGUGGUGCCCCCCUGCAUCCCUCCCUGCCACAGGAUGCUCCAGCUGCAGUGUUGCUUUUUUUAACCCCUGUCUCCACAGGAGGCUGAGCACAUCCCCCAGACUGCCUGGAAGCAGGAUGGGAGCUCAGGGUGGGAAUUCGGGAUCCAGAUCAGGAUGGGAGCACAGGAUGGGAGCUCGGGAUCGAGUUCAGGACGGGAGCACAGGAUGGGAACUUGGGAUCGAGAUCAGGAUGGGAGCUUGGGAUGGGAGCACAGGAUGGAGCUGGGGAUAGAGCUCAGGAUGUGGGAGCACAGGAUGGGAGCUCAGGAUGGGAGCACAGGAUGGAGCUCGGGAUGGAGCUGGGGAUAGAGCUCAGGAUGGGAGUUCGGGAUGGGAGCACAGGAUGGGAACUCAGGUUGGGAGCUCAGGAUGGAGCACAGGAUGGAGCUGGGGAUAGAGCUCAGGAUCUGGGAGCACAGGAUGGAGCUCGGGAUGGAGCUGGGGAUAGAGCUCGGGAUGGGAGCACAGGAUGGGAGCUCAGGAUGGAGCACAGGAUGGAGCUGGGGAUAGAGCUCAGGAUCUGGGAGCACAGGAUGGAGCUCGGGAUGGAGCUGGGGAUAGAGCUCGGGAUGGGAGCACAGGAUGGGAGCUCAGGAUGGAGCACAGGAUGGAGCACAGGAUGGAGCUGGGGAUAGAGCUCAGGAUGUGGGAGCACAGGAUGGAGCUCAGGAUGGGAGCUCAGGAGGGAGCUCAGGAUGGAGCUCAGGAUGGAGCUCAGCUUCCAGCCCCUUGCCAGGCUCCCCAGCCCAGAGGGUUUUUCCUGUUUCCAGGACACCGAGAUCUGUCCUUGUUCUUUCUUUCCUUCCUGCCUGUGCACGUUCAGGAGGGGGGAGGGGGUUGCCCCAGGUCCGUGACCAACAAAUGCUGGCAGCAGCACCUUUCCCAGCUGCGUGGAGAGUCCCAGGAGAGCUGCCAGCAUUGAGCAACUGUUGUCAUCAUCCCUGUUUGUGGGAGCCUUUUUUGGGUUACUCAUCCCUGAUCCUUUGUGCUGUGCAGUGCUGGCGGGUGAGCAGGCACUUCCCAAUCCGGGAUAUGAAGCAAUCCAGGGAUCCAAACUGCUCCAGCUUCACUGAUCCAACCAACCAAGGAUGCUCAGAGAUGGACUCAGGUGUCUGUGGUCUCCUCCUGGUCCCUGCCUCUCUGUGCCCUGGGAUGAGCACAGCACAUCUCUCCCUUCCGUGAGGGGUCUGUGAACUUCCAAAGGCUUCCUGGGGUUAUCUGUGUGUGUUUUCCAGGCUAAGGAGUGCAGGUUUGGGGUUUGGGGAGGGGUUUUUUGGUGGCAUCUCAUAGCUGAGAACCGAAGUGCUGGGCCCUCACCGUUGCAGGGAUGUGCACAGAGAUAAUCGGUGGUGUCAGUGCAUCCAACAAACUUCCAACCAGCUGGAGCUGCCAGCUCCAAAACCUGCCCGAGGUGUGGGUUAAAUACUUCCAAACUGGGGCCAAGUCCGUCAGCAAACUUGAACCAAAAGUCCCUGGGAGAGCUGGUUUUCUCCGGUCUGUGCCGCUCAUCCAUCAGAGCCAGGGAGGGGGGAGAUCCCUGUGGGACCCUUCCCACUAAUCGGUUCCUUCCACAUAGCGAGUCCUGGUCGCCCUUGUGCCCAUCCUACAUCCAGCUUUAUUCCCAAACUCUUUUAUUCCUUUCCUAAAACCCCGAUUUUGCAGCCCAGUGCAGCUUUUUGGUCAGUUUUCACCCAGCCGCUCCAUCCCCUACCCGCAGCCGCGCACGAGGAUGCUCACACAAACAUCACGAGAGCCGCUGCGGUUUCUGGGGACACUCACAUCACUCACAGCCACUUUUCCUUUAAAUAUCCCGAGCUCAAUCUCCCUUUGUCUGCGAUCUUGCGCCUGCCUGGAUGAAAAUAGUGUCUGCUGAGAACUUGAAGAAAAGCUUAACCAGGACAAGAGGAUGGAUUUUGAAUGUGCAGUGGAAUAGUCUGAACUUCCCGGAUGACAGAGAUAAGCAGCUGCUUCUCCUGUCCUGCAGCAGCCGCCAUGGACAGUCAGGGAACACGAUCUGCCCUGCAAAGCUGGUGAGGGAGGAGGCAGAGGAGAAGCACCGGCAGUGAGAGCAGCAGGGAGCAGCUGGUGGACAUGGAUGGGAUGCAACUGGGUGUUUGGGGCAGCAGGAGCUCUGGGCUGGAUGCAGAGGGAGCUACAGAUCAAGAGAGAGAUGCUCUGGAGCUGGAUUCCCGGGGAUGGAGCCUUGGGCCAGCACGAGGGGCAUUAUGUUGUUCUUUACUGGGAGAAAAAGCAGCAAUUACUGUUGAAAGCAGCAAUUUCAGGUUUGCCUGCAGAGCUCCACCUUUCUCUGAGGGACCCCUCGCAGUAACCCGGGGAUGUGCAAACCCUACUGAGCUACAGAGAAACCUCUCAAACCCCAGAGCCUCUCAAACCCUACUGAGCUACAGAGAAACCUCUCAAACCCCAGAGCCUCUCAAACCCUACUGAGCUACAGAGAAACCUCUCAAACCCCAGAGCCUCUCAAACCCUACUGAGCUACAGAGAAACCUCUCAAACCCCAGAGCCUCUCAAACCCUACUGAGCUACAGAGAAACCUCUCAAACCCCAGAGCCUCUCAAACCCUACUGAGCUACAGAGAAGCCUCUCAAACCCCAGAAGCCUCUCAACCCCGCAGCGAUUUGCAUCCCACCCCAAAGCCUGUGCACCCCUUCAGUGCUGCAUUCCUGCCCUCCAUCUCCUCCUGGAUUUCCCGGGAAGCUCGGUGGCUGUCGGCAGCAGAGCUCUCCUCUCCCUUCCCAGGCCGUGAUGCUGUGCCAGAAUCCUCUGUUCCAACCACACACGUUCCACAUCGAUCUCAAAUGUGCUUUAGAAGGGAGGAGGGGGAGAGGCCAUCAAUAUUCUUAGGAGCUUUCCCAGUGCUGUUGCCUGAGCCUGGGAAUGCCUGAAGGAGUGGAAUGGCCUUGUGGGGUUGGCCUUGUGGGAUAAUCCUGUGAUGAGUGUGCAACUCCAGGCGGCUCUUUCAUCACCCCAACUGUGCCUUUACCUGUGGGUGAGUAAAUCCUCCCCUGGCAGGUACUCCUGCCCCAAAGCUUUUGGGGAGCAGAGAGGCCCUGACCUCCCUCCUGGCACAUUUCCACUUUCCUCCCUGGCUCCAGGCACGCUCAGGGGCACGGAUGUAGGAGGAACCCUGUCGCUUUGUAACGGAGCAGCCAUUUCCAUCCCCUUUUUGCAGCAUUACCCAUGAGGUCAGGAUGUUACUGAGCGUAGUUUGGAAGCCUCCUGAGCCUGCAGCCACCGCAGGCACAGACCUGCACCGCUGACCCCUCCCAGCAGUUGUGGUUGGUCUGAAUUCAGCCUUCUGCUCGGCCCAGGGGGUUAAUGUGACUCUGCACGUCCCCUGCUGUCCCCACAGCGUGGGCCUUCUCCCUCUGCCUGCUCCCUGCUACCAGAUGCAUUCUUUGCUUCCAACAUAUGGCCUCAAUUACUGUCCCUCUCCCUUGAUUUCCUGCCUCUCUGGGUUUCCUGAAACUCAUCCCCUCCUCCUGGCAGCUUCAACUCCUGCAGUGAGAUGCUUUGCAAGCUCUCACAUUCCUCCCUCCCUCCCUCCUGCUGCUUUGCUGCCUCUAACGAGGGGGUCCUGACCCAGAGUGGGCACUGAUGAGGCUCAGACCCCCCUGGUGCUGUCACCGAGCCCAGGAGCCCCAAGGGCCUGGCUCGCCACAGCAAAACUGCCCAGCCCAGGGUCCAGCAGGGCUUUGUCCCAGCUCCUCUGGACAGAGGUCCCCACCCUCCCUCAGCAUCCAUCCCACAUCACCCUGUCGUUUUCAGCCGACUGCUUCGUUUGCAAGGCUCAGGCUUCUUUUUAUUCCCACCCCCUCCUGAGGCUGGGGGCUUUCCAAGCCUCUGCCCUUUGAAAGGGGCAUCAAACAGCUCUGGGUUUCCCCUGGGUGCUGUUCGGCCUCUUUCCCGGGCAUUUACCCCUGCAGCAAAGCCGUGUACCCAAGGCUCCUGCCUCUCCAAGCUUCGGAGGAGGGGAAAGGGCCCCUUCCCGCUGCUGGGGGGAGCCCCAGGCCCUGCAGCAUCGGGGUGCUGGAAAUCCUAAGGAAUCUGAGCUUAUUCAGGGCGCAGGGGGAGGUGGAAACGGUUAAAUCCCACAAACGAAGCAGUUAAUGAUUCCCAGCCCCUCGAUGGCAUGUUCCAGGUUUUGGAAGGGGGUCUGGCCAGCAGCUGUGCCAGCAGUUGUAGCUCCAAAAGAGCAUUUUCUUUCUGUGUCAGCUUUCAUCCCCGGCCCCUCUGCAUUCCCCUGGUGCCUGCUGAUGCCAGAGUUUCCAGGGCUCCCGCUGCUACAAUUCCUGCUCCUUUUCCCUCCCAUCCCAGCCCUGGAGUUGUGUGAUGGGGAGAGGGGUGAGGAAGGCGCUGCUCGCUCCGUGUUUGUUUCCUGUCCCAUCCAUCCCGAAGCACAGGAGAGGCUUUUUCCCAGGACAAAAAUGGCUCGGCAGCGUUUGGGAACGGCAGGAAAAGCUGAGGAGCUGCCCCUCUGAAAGCAGGAGUGCAGCGGAGCAAUUUGGGAUGCAACUGGGGAUAACAACAUCUACAGCUGAGCAGUACCACAGCCACGUUCAGCUGCAGCAGCCCUACCGUACAAUAGGGUUUAUAUAUUGUGUAUAUAUGACUUUUAUAGAUAUUAAAUAUUAAAUAUUGUGCAAAAAGCUGUGUUCUAAUAAGGCUGGGCAC